rnacentral:rRNA from 1 species
UAGGGAAUCUUCGGCAAUGGACGGAAGUCUGACCGAGCAACGCCGCGUGAGUGAAGAAGGUUUUCGGAUCGUAAAGCUCUUUUGUUAGAGAAGAACGUUGGUAGGAGUGGAAAAUCUACCAAGUGACGGUAACUAACCAGAAAGGGACGGCUAACUACGUGCCAGCAGCCGCGGUAAUACGUAGGUCCCGAGCGUUGUCCGGAUUUAUUGGGCGUAAAGCGAGCGCAGGCGGAUCUUUAAGUCUGAAGUUAAAGGCAGUGGCUUAACCAUUGUACGCUUUGGAAGCUGGGGUAGUUGAGUGCAGAAGGGGGGGGUGGAAUUCCAUGUGUAGCGGUGAAAUGCGUAGAUAUAGGGAGGAACACCGGUGGCGAAAGCGGCUCUCUGGUCUGUAACUGCCGCUGAGGGUCGAAAGCGGGGGGAGCAAACAGG